GAUCCUGGCUCAGGAUGAACGCUGGCGGCGUGCUUAAUACAUGCAAGUCGAACGAACGGAGAGAGAAGCUUGCUUUUCUCGAAGUUAGUGGCGAACGGGUGAGUAAUACAUAAGCAACCUGCCCACAAGACCGGGAUAACCGCUGGAAACGGCAGCUAAUACCGGAUAGGUAACGAGAGGGCAUCCUCAUGUUAUUAAAGUUGAGAUACACUGGUGGAUGGGCUUAUGGCGCAUUAGUUAGUUGGUGAGGUAACGGCCCACCAAGACGAUGAUGCGUAGCCGACCUGAGAGGGUGACCGGCCACAUUGGGACUGAGACACGGCCCAGACUCCUACGGGAGGCAGCAGUAAGGAAUUUUCGGCAAUGGGCGAAAGCCUGACCGAGCAACGCCGCGUGAGUGAAGAAGGCCCUACGGGUUGUAAAGCUCUGUUGUGAAGGAAGAAGAUUACGGAAGUAUCCGUAAGUGACGGUACUUUACCAGAAAGUGACGGCUAACUACGUGCC
rnacentral:rRNA from 1 species